CCCUUAGAUGUCCUGGCCCGCACGCGCGUUACACUGAUGCAUUCAACGAGCUUAUAACCUUGGCCGAGAGGCCUGGGCAAUCUUGUUAACGUGCAUCGUGAUAGGGAUAGAUUAUUGAAAUUAUUAAUCUUGAACGAGGAAUUCCUAGUAAACGCAGAUCAUCAAUCUGCAUUGAUUACGUCCCUGCCCUUUGUACACACCGCCCGUCGCACCUACCGAUUGGAUGGUCCGGUGAAGCCUCGGGAUUGUGGUUCUUGCCGCUUUAUUGUAGCGUGACCGCGAGAACUUGUCUAAACCUUAUCAUCUAGAGGAAGGUGAAGUCGUAACA
rnacentral:rRNA from 1 species